CACCAAGAAACCAGCCAGGAAAAGGAACAAAUGGAACAUAUUGAAAUGCGCAUACAUGAUGGUCACCUUCUUGUUUGUGUCUUACAAUAAAGGAGACUGGUGUUACUGCCACUAUUGUAGCACAGACAUGGACAUCAGAAAUGACCCCUGCUGUUCUUACUAGCCACCCUGCUCCAUCUCAGCUAAACCUUCGGGGGUCCUUCAUCUCCCAGGUAGUCUCACCUCCCGAGAAACCUCUCUGUGCCCUGGACUGUAGAUGUGGAGGGUCAU